GUGUGUGUGUGGUGUGUGUUGUGUGUGUGUGUGUGUGUGUGUGGUGUGAGAGAGAGAGAGAGAGAGAGAGAGAGAGCGCGGUACUGAGAUCUGUCCUUCCUGUGAGCAGGUGUGAUGCAGUGUGUGUGAGAGUGUGUGUGAGAGUGUGUGUGAGAGUGUGUGUGAGAGUGUGUGUGAGAGUGUGUGUGAGAGUGUGUGUGAGAGUGUGUGAGAGAGUGUGUGAGAGAGUGUGUGAGAGAGUGUGUGUGAGAGUGUGAGUGAGUGUGAUUGAGUGUGCUACUGAGAUCCUGUCCUUCCUGUGAGCAGGUGUGAUGCAGUAUGUGUGAGAGUGUGUGUGAGAGUGUGUGUGAGAGUGUGUGUGAGAGUGUGUGUGAGAGUGUGUGUGAGAGUGUGUGAGAGAGUGUGGUACUGAGAUCCUGUCCUUCCUGUGAGUGUGUGAGUGAGUGAGUGAGUGUGUGUGUGU
ensembl:lncRNA